GAAUUCAGCGAGGCUUUCCGUGAACACCACAUUCCGGAGGGUCUCAUGGACCGUAAACGUGAGGAAUUUUGCAGUUUCACCCAAGGCCGACUUUCUGUGGAUGCUUACAGCAGGGAGUUUGGUAAUCUCGCACGAUAUGCAACUGAGGAAGUGUCUACUGAUGCCAAGAAGCAAGCAAGGUUCCGUAAGGGCCUUAGUCCUGAGCUUCGUCGUGACCUCCGUCUGCAUGAGUGCACAUCGUUUCAGAAACUUGUCAACAAAGCCAUCAGUGCUGAAACUGGUCAGACUGACUAUGACGCAACACGCAAGCAUGGCCGUGACAUGGGUUCCUCAUCCGGUGCUGGUCCUCAGAAGCGCCGCGUG
rnacentral:rRNA from 1 species